ACUCUAGCGAAGUGAAGUUACAGUAAGACACAGCUUCAGCAGCAUUCUGUUCAUUUCUGCUUUUGUCUUCAGCCAAAUCACAAGCAAGAUGAAACGACUGCUGUGCGCCUUUCUCUUCCUGCUCGUCUGCAGUACAUUAUGUGCCGCUGAUGAGGUGACCGCACCGACAAAACAGGCAAAACCAACAGAAAAGCCCACGGCUGCCAGUGGUGUGGGCAUGGUGGAGGCGGUGUGGGGAGUCCAACUGAUGAUGACGCUGGUGCCUGCCCUGCUCUGCAAACUCUUCUAAUGGCGGAUCCAUCGAGCUCCUGGUGUCUGCCUGUGAUCCUCUGUAAGCUGUUCUACUGGCGGACCGCAUUGGAGAGAUGCCACACAGGACACAAAACAUUCGGGAAAGGGUUCACCAUCAUCACUAUAGGCCUAAUGUGUGAAAACGAGUCACUGGGUCAUCAUUGGGAAAAUAUAUGUGACAACUUUCAUGUGACAAUACGUUGACAAUACUCUUUCUCUUUUUGUUAUUUCUUUUUUUGAUGCACAUCCCUAAUGUAAGACGACUUUAGGAGAAGAUGACUGAAUGACCUAAUCAAUACAUGUAUGUGAUUUUGACAUUUUGAAGUCCAGAUGCCAUUAAAUAAAGAAAAUGUCUUGACUCGAA